UUUUGCAAUUUAGUGUAGAAGCCAUUUUGUAUCCAAAGAGACGAUAUAAACAACGUGCACAGUUUACGCACAAACGAAUGGGGAAUGGGAAACCUCCAUGUCAAACCAGCUUACGAACAUUAUUUUGCCAUUAUUUUUUAACUACUGCCAGUAGAGAAGAAAAACGUCCACAGUGCACCUGUUUGCUUGUUGACAUCCUUACUACAUGCACAUUGAAAUGGCUGGAUUUCAACAAGGGGGUCUACCACCAAUUCAGUUACGGAACGAUAGGCACAGUCCAAACAUGCGUCUUCAGGCUUCACGUCAAUCUGGCUUAUUGACUAACUUUGGUGCACUUCAGUAUAGUGAGAAUCCUCAUGCUGGAGCUGUGCAAUGGGAGAUGGAUAAUGCAGCUGAAGGUGGUAUCAAGUCAGUACAAGAAAAGCGUGCUCACACUACCAUGGUACAAGAAUAAAUGCAGGCUGUUGAAAUUGCUGUGAGUAGAAUCACUAAAGAGAUUGAGAUGAUAGAAGAACAACUCCACAAUAGACGACAACUUUCUGAACACACAGACAACUCUGUAAAAAGCUUGGAAAUUCAGCAUGUUGGAUCAAUAUCUGACUUACGGCAGAGGGU